GAUGAACGCUGGCGGCGUGCCUAAUACAUGCAAGUCGAGCGAACAGACGAGGAGCUUGCUCCUCUGACGUUAGCGGCGGACGGGUGAGUAACACGUGGAUAACCUACCUAUAAGACUGGGAUAACUUCGGGAAACCGGAGCUAAUACCGGAUAAUAUAUUGAACCGCAUGGUUCAAUAGUGAAAGACGGUUUUGCUGUCACUUAUAGAUGGAUCCGCGCCGCAUUAGCUAGUUGGUAAGGUAACGGCUUACCAAGGCAACGAUGCGUAGCCGACCUGAGAGGGUGAUCGUCCACACUGGAACUGAGACACGGUCCAGACUCCUACGGGAGGCAGCAGUAGGGAAUCUUCCGCAAAGGGCGAAAGCCUGACGGAGCAACGCCGCGUGAGUGAUGAAGGUCUUCGGAUCGUAAAACUCUGUUAUUAGGGAAGAACAAAUGUGUAAGUAACUAUGCACGUCUUGACGGUACCUAAUCAGAAAGCCACGGCUAACUACGUG
rnacentral:rRNA from 1 species